rnacentral:tRNA from 1 species
UCUAUCUUGUUGUAUCUAUAGCAUAGCAGCUUUUCGUGCUGCGGGUGGUAUUUUACCAGAUAGGG